AAUUAUAUCACAUUAUUAAUUGAUAGGUUAAUUAAUAUAUAGUAUUAUUCUAAUACUAAAUAGGAAUUUGCUAAACUCCGAAAAGCAUAAUAAUACCCUACAAGUGUUUUUGUGCUGUGCUGUGCUGUUUUUAUGGUGGAGAGAGAAAGCUGUGCAUGUGCUAUUGGCGUCGCAAUUCCCUUCCCACCAUCUAAUUUGUUUCAUUUUUGCGUGCAGUGAUCCCUCUCUGCUUCUCUGAUCUCUCUCUCUCUCUCUCUCUCUCUUUAUAUUUUAUUUUAUUUUAUUUUUAUUUUUUAAAUCUGUGGUAGGUAGGUAUGGUAAUCUAUCUGUUCUGGGUUGAUGAUCCUUUUUUCAGAAUAUAUUUUGGGUCUGUUUGUUUGGUUUUUGCUAAUCGUUUUGUGAGUGAGAAAGAGUCCUGGGAGUUCUCAAAGCCAUCAAUAGUUUGAUAUUGUAAACAAUUAGUAAGAUUGUUAAUCAUAGCUUGUUUAAUUUAAUGGAUACCCUGAAUCCUAUGGUCAUAUCAUAUGUACAUAACAUACAUCUAUGUACCAGUUGCCAAUUAAGGUUUCAGAUUUCAAUUAAGGUUGUUGGUUCUUCUUCAAGAUCAACGCCAAGUUGCCAAAAAUUCUAUAAAAAAAUGCAAGUCUUUUUGUUUUUGAGGAAGAGGACACUUUCUCAUCACCAAGAAUCUGAUUUGGUGGGUACAGGAGGAGGCAGCUUCUUUCUUAGACCAUUCAUGCAAAAAUGAAGCGAAUUAGUAGUUGGUACGCGCAUUACUACCAGCACAACACAACAUUCAAAGCAAGCAGAAGCAAGAUGUGAGGGCAUAAUGCAGCAAGCUUGGGUCCACAUACAGACUGGCCUAACUGGCCUUCAUUUGUAUUGUGGAGGUAAAUUUGCCUUAAACUUUGUGGAUACCAAUACAGAUAAAUGGAGGGGCAAAUAUUGUCCUAUGGAAAGUGACCUAGUCCACACCUUGAGGCAUUCACUUAAAAUCCACUAAGCUCUCUUCUCACCACUUUCUCGACUUUGUUCCAAAGAGAGGUACAUGGCAUAGUUUAGGAACCGGAUAUGAUUACGCAAAAGAACAUGGGAAUUAGUCAAUUGAGUUUGGAAAUUUUGAAACUCGUCAUGGUUCCCCAUUGAGGUUAUUCAUUCCUUAUGUCAGAUUGUGAAGCAUAAUUGGAACCAUUACUGCAAUGAAAAACCCCCUCUCCCACAGAAAAGCUAACCAUAACUCUGAUUGCUUACUUUGAAUUUAAAGGAUAAGUCAGUGUCCUGAGUAUCUUUAGUGGCACUUUCAGCAGAGCUCUGGACUCACCAAGUUUUUUCUAGCUAGGUGUCCAAUUUUGUUUUGUACUAAAGGACAACAAUUUGCCUCUUCUUUGCAGGAUCUUAUAGUAUGGUUGAACAGUCGUCAAGACUAGAGGUCAUAGUGCUAGAUGUGCCUGUUGGGCACUAUGGUUCCUUUCAAUAGGCUGUUUCUGCUCAGCGCUGACACAGUUGUAAUAUUUUUAUGUCUGCUAUCUGAGACUCGGUUCUCAUACUGGUAAUAUGACUCAAUGAUUCAUGGAUUUUGUGAAGAAAACUAAGUGGGUUGCCCAGUUUAUCUCCUGAUUAUAGGUUCCCGUUCACAUGGAUCAAAUUUGAUGGAAUUGUAGUUACCGUGAUGACCUAGAAAGUGGAAGGUUUGUUGAUCAUGUAGGUGGCCUGGCUGCCACUUGCAAAGGGGCUAGAUUUGGAGUGGACUUCAACAUGCUGUUCUAGAAGUGGACUCACAAUAUAUAUAGGGUAAGACUUGAUUAAAUAAGAUGUCAAAUCUGUCAAUAUUGCCGUCAAGACUGCUGGUGGAGGAAGUGAAACCAGAAUGGCAUAGAGCCAGUAACAGAGCAUUUUCACAGAGUCAGAAAGAAAAGGGACUGGCACUCUCUCACAUCAGAAGCUCAAGACAACUGGCACAAAGAUCGGGAUGCGAGGGUGUUCGUUAAGAAUGAAGUUAACAUGCGUUUUCAUCCCACAACUUGCAAUUGUUCUUCAAAUUGUUUGGGCACAUAUGGUCUACUGAAACUGAGUGUGUGACUGACUACUGGUUUCGUAUAUUUACGCAUCCUGCUGUUUAUGGGUGGAUUACAGUUUGAUUGUUUUUGCCAAAUCUCGGUGGUUGAAUGUCUCUGCAGACUACUUGAGCAUGCUUGAUAUGUUGUUAUACAGUUUCAACAAUGAUUGAUGGCUGAUUGGGUUGAAAAUUUGGCGAGUCUGAGAAGUUGCAAAAUACUAGGAGAAGCUAUUAAUAGUAAAUAGAUCUUAACUUGUCUACCCAAGAACUUACUUGGAAAAGUAAAUGUAUGAUCCAAAUUCAACUCUUAUAUAAUUGAACCCAAUACUUAAAAUAAAAUCUCAAUCACACAAUGCCUUUUUUAUGG